AAACCGUCACCCCUGGGCCACAGGCAGCCACGGACCUCGCCUUUCCCACUUGGUUAGAGUCGGCUCUGCCGGGAGAAAGCGAUUCCAGAAUUCCCUAAGUUAAAGGAAUUUCUUACUCCUUCUUGAGCGCCAUCCAAGGGCCAGGCCUUAGUCUAGGAACUGGCAACACCGUGGCGACCACGUCAGACAAGAUCGCUGCCCUCAUUGAGUUCCCAGGUUGGCAGGGGAAACAAAAAUGUAAUAAAUAACUGCACUUUGCAAGAAGAGCUAUGAAGAAAAAACAGGGUGAUGGGAGAGAGAAUGCUUGGAUGUUGAAGGGAGGCCUUUCUGAGAUGGCGACAUCUUGAGCUGAAUAAAGAAGGAUGAGAAAGGAUGGGGCUUGCAAAGUUCUGGCUUCAAAGAAUUCCAGGCAGAGGGAACAAGAGUGAAGUCUCCAGGGGAAGCCAGCUUAGUGUUUGGAGACUAGAAAGAAGGGGUGUGCGGCUGGAAGAUGGGAUGAGAAAACUAAAAAUCCAGGGGGAUUUUAGCAACUUGCCUACCUCACACAACUAGCAGCAGAGCCAGGAUUUUAACCCAGACAGUUCCAGGGCUCAGGUCCUUACCCUCUGGGCUGGCCUUCCCCCUCUACUGCCCCCUGAUACCCUCACUUUUCUGAACAUUGGACUCAUUCCUGUAGCUGGAGGUAGAGGACGGAAACUCAAAAGAUGAUUGAAGAUUAAAAAACAAGAUGAUUGAGGCUGGACUUCUCAAAACCUUGCUGCAGCCUGAGCUUGAGCGU
rnacentral:lncRNA from 1 species